rnacentral:tRNA from 1 species
GCCUGGGUGGCUCAGUGGGUUAAAGCCUCUGUCUUCUGCUCAGGUCAUGAUUCCACGGUCGUGGGAUUGAGUCCCGCAUCGGGCU